CAGUAGCCGCGGGAAUACGUAGGUGGCAAGCGUUGUCCGGAAUUAUUGGGCGUAAAGGGCUCGCAGGCGGUUUCUUAAGUCUGAUGUGAAAGCCCCCGGCUCAACCGGGGAGGGUCAUUGGAAACUGGGAAACCUGAGUGCAGAAGAGGAGAGUGGAAUUCCACGUGUAGCGGUGAAAUGCGUAGAGAUGUGGAGGAACACCAGUGGCGAAGGCGACUCUCUGGUCUGUAACUGACGCUGAGGAGCGAAAGCGUGGGGAGCGAACAGGAUUAGAUACCCCUGUAGUCCCUGUCUCUUAUAC
rnacentral:rRNA from 1 species